rnacentral:lncRNA from 1 species
GUAUUUCACAAUUCUAAACGAACCCAACACUUUCAAUUUGGCAGUACAGUAUUUGUGGCAAGAUUUUAUGCGAUCAUUUCGUUGGAAAUACGACACAAAUAUGUUAUCUUGAAUUGUGAAGUAAGAAAGAUUUAAUUGAAAUGGCAAGUGCUUCAUCAGAAAGUGUUCCUGUUGAUGAAAUCAACGAACUACUCACAUGUUGCAUGUGUUUGGAAACCCUACAAGAACCACGAAGCUUGGCUUGCUUUCAUAAUUUUUGUAAAGUGUGUUUAGGUGAGUAAUAUUUUCUUUGUUUAAAAGGUCUACUUGACGCAUGCUUUGCGUGGAUAUUUUACAGUUUAAUAAUUAAAUACCCGAGUAAUGCCAGUUUUAUUUUUGCGCAAUGAAUGCCUCCCUGGCACAUUAAUUGCGCGGAAGUGAAGGCAGAACAAAUAUUGAGAAUGAGUGACUGUAUUGUAUGCAUUAAUGCAUAGCCUGCAGGCCGUCACUUACAAUACUAAAUUCUGUUUUUGUGUAUUAAGCUUCCUCUCGACACAAAGUAGACGAAAUAAAUGCAUUAAUUCAUGAAAAAUACGCAGAAUUUGUAGGAUUUCGCUGAAAAUGCGCGGGCAGAAGCCACCGGGCAGAAGAUAAUAAACCUUGCUUUGUAAUUAUAGUUUGCUAGUGUCGCAGUUUUAAGCCUGCCUGUGUGAUUUUCAAAACAGAAUAACGCUCGACUUGACUGUUACAUAUUCAUGUAAUUGUUCUUUUACAAUACGAUAAUCAUCAGCAAGAUUCUUCACCAAUUUUUCUGUUAUAUAGACGUGUGUUUCACAGAAAUAUAUCUGCCUAUCAUCAGGCAAUAUACACAUGGUUACUUUAAACAAAAUUAUUGUAGAAAUUAGAUAGAAUUGCACUUUCCAGGCUUGUAAUUUUCAAACUUUUUUUUUUGGGGGGGGGCAUGCCCUCAGACCGCUCAGAAAGUUUUGUAGCAAUAGCUGCAAACUUACUUUAUCUCAAAACCAGCCCUCCCCACUCAUAAAAUUGCUGUGUGGCCAGUGUGGGUCCUGAAUGUGCUGAUGGUACUGUAGCUAUAGGGAGUAGGAAAAUUGGAAAAUAUUUCAUUUAUAGUUAUUCUGUACCAUUCAGACUAGGGAUGUGCCGGAUAGUGUUUUGUUGUAUACCGGAUAAUAGUCUACCAGAAACCAGUUAGUGGAAAAUAAUAAUCAGAUACUAAUGGUUGUACUUAACUUUUUGUUCCCAUAAUACAGUAUAUUUAGUUCCUUGUUCAAACAGUAAGUAUCAAUAUGUGUGGCACAGGGGUCUGCAGGUACUGUAAUCAGAGCAGAGAUGCCACAGAGAGCAGUUUACUGUACAUCUCGAAAACAUUUUUGCAUGUCUCACAUGCAGUAAUUGUUCGACCUGUUCUAUACAAUGUCUUAACACACAAAAACAUUUUUUUUGUUUCGGUUAAUAAAACUUCCAGUAUAUUACCCGCCCAAAUUUUGCCUGAUAUUUAACAAUUAUUCGACGAAGGCUAGGUGAUUAUCAUGCAGGGAAUAUUCGCCGAGACGAAGUCGAGGUGAAUAUUCCCCGAUAAUCACCGAGCCUGAGGCGAAUAAUUGUUUUAGUAUUUUUACACAAGUUUUUUGGGACUGAAUUUAUUUUAAUUUCGCUUAUUUCUUUUUUCUUGUCCACAAAACGGCUAGCCGCCAUUUUGAAAAUUUCGGUUUUGUUAUAUCCACCUGUAGGUGAAUAUAUCACCUGUAGGUGAAUAUAACAGUUUAAUACGUCAAAUUUGACCAAUCAACUUGUAGGAUUUGUUAUGUUCACUUGUGCAAAAAUACUAAACUGCUGUAUGUCUAUUUUUGACCGGAUACCAUUAUCCGGAUCCGGCACUUCCCUAAUUCUGAGCUUACCUUAAUUAAAGUUACUCAACAAUUGACCUGUCUUUGUUAUAAUUAUUGCAUUUAAUGUAUUCUUAAACAUGUUUAUUCAUGCUUUAAGACUAUAAGCGUAUUCUAUGUCUGUGCAUUGUUUAGGAAAGUAUGUUGAACGUCUUCGCGGUGCUGAAAAGAAGAUCGAGACAUUUCCAUGUCCUACGUGUCGCUCAGAGUUCACUCUCAAAUCAAACCAAGAUGUUGCUGAACUGCCAAGCAGUUAUUUCAUUAAGAAUAUGUUGGAAAUUAUGGCGAUUCAACAAAAAGCAAAAAUAUCUACUGCAUGUUCCCACUGCCAAGAUCCUGCCAUUAAUCACUGCGCAUCAUGCGAAAAGUUUAUGUGUAAGAAAUGUUCAGAGUCUCACAAUGUUUGGUUGAAAAAUCAUAAUGUAAUAUGUGUACAAGAGCUAGGCAAUCCAGAAAGUCAAGUAAAAAUGAGAAGCAAGCUUUAUUGCAUGAAACAUGAGGACAAAAUACUUGAAUUUUAUUGCGAAACAUGCAAGGAACUUUGCUGUAUACAUUGCUUGGUUUUAAAUCAUCAAAAACCAAACCAUUCGUGUGUGGCAGUGAGUGAACUCACACAGAAGCAAAGAGAAACAUUGCAAUCAAGCUGCACAACACUUGAUGAGAAAUUAGCUGAGGGGAAAGAAGCAUUAAACAACGUUUGUGAGGUGAUGAAGUCUCUUGAAAAGAAUGCUAAAACUGCUAAAGAUCAAAUCAAACAACAAAAGGAAAAUAUCUUGAAGAUUGUGGCAGAAAAACUUGACGAGAGAGCAAAGAUAAUGAAUGAGGAAGUGGACAAGGUUUAUGGUGAAUUACACAGUGAACUGAGCAAACAACAUGAUGAAAUGAAAGAUUAUCUUGAUAAAGUCCAAGCUUCAGUGUCGCUGCCAAGGAAUCUCCUGA